rnacentral:rRNA from 1 species
UUUGUUGCUAGGAAAUAUGGUAAAGAAAGAGAGCCUUGGGUUCAGAAACCCAUGCCCUUUCCUCCCAAACCAUCCAAGAAAAAGGAUGAUGAGGAUUUUGAGCACUUUGCUGAAAUGAUUAGACCUAUCUUUUUGCAUAUGCGAUUAACUAAUAUGCUCAAAACCAAUCCUUAUGCUAAGUACAUGAAAGAUAUUAUUACAAAUAAAAGAAAGAUACCGGAAGCUGAAAUUUCCACCAUGCUUGCUAAUUACACUUUUAAGGGUGGAAUACCAAAGAAACUUGGAGAUCCAGGAGUACCCACUAUACCAUCCUCCAUUAAAAGAAAUUAUGUUAAAACUGCUUUAUGUAAUCUUGGAGCCGGUGUUAGUGUU